UACUGUUAAUGAUGAUUUUGUUUUGAACAAUGGGAAUCUCUCUGAAAGAGACUGAGGAAGACUUUGAUACUGAAACAGUA
ensembl:snoRNA SNORD79 Small nucleolar RNA SNORD79